GUAGAGUCAAAUUUAAAAACGUUUUUGAAACAGUGGUUAUCUUAUAUCUUUAUCAGCUAACCUACAAUGAGGCCAAAAAAAAGAAAUUAAGAAAUUAAUGGUUCUGUUUUCCCUUGAUGCCAAAGUUAUGUGUGUUCUUUUCACUACAGAGAGAGAUUUGGUGUUAUGCCCCAAAUUGCCCUUGUAGGUUGUGAAAACAUAAAAUAGUAAUUCAAAUCCUCACCUUCAUUAUAACACGAGGCAAAUAUAAUUUCUCUUGGAUAAUUAUCUCAAGAGUUAGGGGCAGUUAAGGGACCCUGCUCAGAGCAUGGCUUAGCAGUUACCCAUCCCCUUUUUUAUCAUUCUGGUACCUGUGAAGUAGACUGUGAUCAUUACAAGAACCUAUUACUGUUUUUGCUCAGGUGGAAGGUUCCAAAUGAUUUUAUUGCACCAGAUAUAAUGGCAAUCAGUAUAACUAACUGCACUGCAUAUAGCAAUAACUAGCAUUAAUUGUUUGUCAUGCCCCAGGCACUGGUCUGAAGACUUUAUAUGUUUAACUUGUUUAAGCCUCACAGCAGUUCUGUAUGGUACUUAUUAUUAUCAUCUAUCUCCUUACCUAUGAGAAAACUGAGGCUCACAGAGGAGAAAUAAUCUGCCCAGUCAUAUAGCUAGUAAGUGGCAGAGCCAGGAUACCAACCCAGGCAGCCUGGGCACAGAGACUGCACCAUUAUCCACUGCAGUAACUGCUGGUCCACUUCUGAUUUAUCUUGAGAUGCUCAACCUCAGGCCUACCUUCUCCACAGUAGAUGAAUAAAGAAGGGAAGCAAGGCAGGGUAGCAAAGAUUCAAACACUGUAAAAUUUAUGGAAUCCCAGGUCUCAAAGGGAGUAUCAUAGGACAUUGACCAGACUUCAGGGUCAAAUGGCACUGCCUAUAGACCAUUCAGCCAGAUACAGAUUUUCAUUCAUCUCCAGGAAGGAAUUAUUCUUUCCUUAUUAAUUCAUUUCAAUAUUUAUAGUCUCUCUGCACUGAAGCUCUUCACACCCAACCUGACCAAGUCGUGUUAAGCAUUAGUCUGAGGUUUGGACAUUGAAGCAAUAACUAAAAUUAACUUUGGACUUCUCUGUGGAUUUUUUAAAUCCAUGUUCCAUUGGCAUGGAUCACUGGUGUAUACAAGCAUAAAUAAACAUCAGUCUCUGCAGGCUUUUAAAGAUUGGCCACUGAGUGUGCCGAUGAGGAAGAAGGCAGAGCAUUCUCUGCUGGACGUCUUUUCCAAGUCGUACCCUCCUUCCCAGGAGACUUUCCCUGUGCUCCCCCUAGGUUAGCCCUCCCAAGAUCUCUGAUCAGAACCCACAGGGAGCCUUUUUCCAGCCACAAGGUUCUGAUUACUGAAGCCUCUCUCCUGAGCUGCAUCUGACCUGAAUAUCAGGUUGCUGAUGAGAAGACUCAUUCAUUGGAACUGGCCUUUGGGGCGGUCCUGAACAGACCGUCCAGACUGCUGAGCAGGGCUCCAGUGACCUGGCACAUAGGAAACACGGAACACAGCCUUUCCCUCUGUGUUAUACAUUCCCAGAGAAGAAGUGCAAGAUGCCCUGGCACUAUCAUCACUCAGUUCUGUGUAAUAAGAGUUUCAAAGGGACUCUUGGUGAAUUCACAACCCUAACUGACAUUUUUUUUUUUUUUUUUGACAUUCUUUUAGGCCAACCAAGUCAUGUGAAGGAUGAAUUCCUAUGCUUGUCUUGUUAAUAUUCGUGAAACCAUGCAGAUUAGAGGAGGCCCUAGUAGUUGACAAAAGGACAUUUGAGGAAAGGAGGGAUGACAUGAGAAAAGGUAAACAUGAUGUUUUUGUAUAUAUUAUACCCAGAUGGGGUCUGAGAAAGAUAGAUUCACCUCUAAUCAUCUCAGUUGGCACUGGUGUCCUCCUUACCCACGGUUUUCCCUUUGCACUUGGCCUCAGCUGAGGGAGAGGUGUCGAAAAGGGGAGAGACAGCUCUCCGCCACCAAGUAAUCCUGUUGCCGAUUGCCCUCUGGCUGAGAACUCAGUCAUCCAACUGCAGGGAAUUCUAUCUCUUCUACUCCUUUAGUUUAAUAGGAGUUGCCAUCCUGUCUCAUUUCCCCUUUGAAGUUCUAUUUCAAUGCGUGGCAAAUUCUAGCAAUGACUUAAGAUUGAUUCGGGCCUGGAUGGGAGGGAGGGCAGAUGUGGUGGGUGUUGGGACCUAGACUCCCUGGCCGGAAGCUUCUCUUGCCACUCUUUCUGCAGUGAUUAUUGUGCCAAUAUUCAUAAGAACCUUGCAUCCAGAAUAUUGCUAUACCUGUGGAUGAAGUGCAUCUGCUCCAAGUAGACACAGCCUUUUGAAAUAUCUACACACAGGUCUACAAGGUCAACCAAG